AAUGGAGAAGUAGGGCUUAAAACUCCAUUCCAUUUUGUCACUUCUGACUUGAUACACCGUUUGGGUCUGUCCUGGUGCUAGGACCUAUCACAAAGGACUGUCUUCAAAGGGAAACAAGCCACAGCCUUGUUGGACACGUCUUUAACUCCAGCAGCAAAACUGGGACCCAGAGCUCUCGGGAGGCAAAGGAUGACACUCACUAGUGAAAUGUAGCUUUAAUACCAUUUCUAAUAGGUGUGCCUGUUCACAAGAUGUGUGGGAACUCAUUCCUAAGGGUUUUUACAUGUUUUAGUUAAUCUAACUAUGCCUAGCUAGGAAGAAUGGAUGUGGGCAAAUAGUGUUGAAAGAAUGAGGGUAGGCUUCAUGGGGCAAAUCCAGUCACAAAGCAGAUGACUGAGGAAGAUAACAGAGUUAAGACGUAGUUAAAACUGGGCAGUUCCUUAUCUUCUUUUGCAAGAAAUCUCUAGGGAAGUGGACUUUGAAUGUUUCUCUUGAGAUUUUAAAGUGUUUGUUUAUUUUCCUCUUCUUCUUUUUUUUUUUUGGUUGAAUACUCUCUGAAGACAAUCAGAGGCCUGCCAGGGUGGGACUUCCAGCUGGUUCCAGCACUGUCCUUAGGCCUCUUUCUAACACUAACUCAUUGGAAUUGAUGCAGUUUGUUUAAUGGAUAUUGUCCCAUCAAAUUUGAUGGUAUAACUUCAAGGGAUUAAGAAAUAACUAUUUUGGAUGAAUAUUUUGCUCAGUGGGGUUUUUUUUGGGGGGGGGUUGUGAAUAAGUGUAUAUAAAUGUGUGGUAUAUUACGACAGUUUUAAGUGGUCGUCAGAAAAUUAAAACAGGUCUUAAGGUAUAUAUUUAACUUCCUUUGACAGCAAGGAAGGCGUUUGAC
rnacentral:lncRNA from 1 species